UGGUGGAGCGAUUUGUCUGCUUAAUUGCGUACAACGAACGAGACUCUAGCCUAUUAAAUAGAUAGCUGAUCCUUUUGUCAGCUAUUCUUCUUAGAGGGACAAGUGGCGUUUAGCCACACGAAAAUGAGCAAUAACA
rnacentral:rRNA from 1 species